AUUCCGUAAUAAGGGAACUUCUGUAAUAAUUCUUUGUACCUUUCCCAUGCCUCAUACAAGGACUCAUCAUCCAUUUGUUGGAAAGCAGUGAUCUCAUUCCUCAAUUU
rnacentral:snoRNA from 1 species